CAAGAUUUUAGCAAGAGUCUGACAUGGAAUACUAGAGAGACUUUAAGGAAGCAAUUUUAGGGAGGUGACUGAGAGAAUUAAGGGAAAUAUGGGCAGUUAGUUUAGACCCAAGGAGCCCUGUGUGUGUGGUAGGGGGUGUGAAAUCUGUCAGAUCAAACCAGUCAAAAGCAUAAAGUCAAGAGUUGUAAUUAGAAUCUGUACCUACUUUUAGAGUCUAGACCUCACCCUUGUGACCUCCCACUUGGAAUGCAAAUGAAAAGGCAAGCAAAUCUGAGGUAUUUCCUGCUAAGCAGUGAUUGUCUAUGAGCAUGAGGUCUAAGAGGGGUGCAUCUGUCGGGGAGACUCCACUGCCAUUGCAGGCCUGACAGGCCUCACUGAAUAAAGCACUCAGAGGAGCCGAUAUCAAGACCUGCAUCCUGCCAGCCUAACUGUUAGGGUGGCUUCCACAAACAGAAAGGCCCAUCAACGGAGAACAGCAACCGUACUGGCUAAAGCUGCUUCAAUCACGCUUCAGAAUCAUUCACAGAGAUUUGCACUGUGGAGGUCAAAGGGAGCAAGCCGGGCCAGGCCCCACCUCAGCACCAGCCAAAGUUGCUGUCAGCACCAGAUGGAGGAAUCGUCAGCCCAGCCAGGUAAGAGGCCAAGGGAAACCUCUGCCUCGUCUGAAAUACUUUGCAUUUUUCCUCCUCUUUUUGCAGAUGAGCAAUGGUGAGAGAUGAGUUCUGCUUUCUGAAUGUGACUUUGUGGUCCAUAGUGUAAGUGUGCAUUAUGCAGAUGUUCUAAAUGCAUCAACACAAUUCUCCAGAAAGCCC
rnacentral:lncRNA from 1 species